AACGAACGCUGGCGGCGUGCCUAACACAUGCAAGUCGAGCGCGAAUAGGGGCAACCCUUAGUAGAGCGGCGCACGGGUGCGUAACACGUGGGUAAUCUGCCUGGAAGCUCGGGAUAACUAGCCGAAAGGUUAGCUAAUACCGGAUAAGCCCCCGGGGACUUCGGUCCUUGAGGGAAAAGAUGGCCUCUGUAUACAAGCUAUCACUGCCAGAUGAGCCCGCGGCCCAUCAGCUAGUUGGCGGGGUAAUGGCACACCAAGGCAACGACGGGUAGGUGGUCUGAGAGGACGAUCAGCCACACUGGAACUGAGACACGGUCCAGACUCCUACGGGAGGCAGCAGUGGGGAAUUUUGCGCAAUGGGCGAAAGCCUGACGCAGCAACGCCGCGUGUGUGAUGAAGGUCUUCGGAUUGUAAAGCACUUUCGACCGGGACGAAACUCCUUCACCUAAUACGUGGGGGCCUGACGGUACCGGGAGAAGAAGCACCGGCUAACUCUGUGCCAGCAGCCGCCGUAAAAC
rnacentral:rRNA from 1 species